GUCCCUGGUUCUGGAAUUCAGAGUAAAAUUAGAAGCAUGUCAAGAUUAGCAUGGCCCCUGCAUAAGGAAGACAUGAAUCUGUCAUGCAUUCCAUAUUUUU
rnacentral:snRNA from 1 species